rnacentral:rRNA from 1 species
UACGUAGGGUGCAAGCGUUGUCCGGAAUCAUUGGGCGUAAAGCGCGUGUAGGCGGCCUUGUAAGUCCGUUCUGAAAGCCUGGGGCUCAACCCCAGGAGGCGGAUGGAUACUGCAAGGCUCGAGUCCGGAAGAGGCGAGUGGAAUUCCCGGUGUAGUGGUGAAAUGCGCAGAUAUCGGGAGGAACACCAAUGGCGAAGGCAGCUUGCUGGGACGGUACUGACGCUGAGACGCGAAAGCGUGGGGAGCAAACAGG